rnacentral:tRNA from 1 species
GUUUUAAUAAUUUAAAUAAAAUAUUAGUCUUGUAAGCUAAAAUUAGGGAACCCCCUUUAAAACU